AGCUCUUGGAUCUGUUUUGUCUAACUUGCGGACAAAGACUUACGGACAAGUGCCAAAAAGAAAUCCUUUUUGCAAGCCAGAACUCAUUGAUGGUACGGGUUUUGAAACAUACAAGAGGGAAUACA
rnacentral:snoRNA from 1 species